rnacentral:rRNA from 1 species
UACGUAGGGUGCGAGCGUUAAUCGGAAUUACUGGGCGUAAAGCGUGCGCAGGCGGUUCUGAAAGUCAGCUGUGAAAGCCCCGGGCUUAACCUGGGAAUGGCGGUUGAAACUACAGGACUAGAAUCUGGCAGAGGGGGGUGGAAUUCCACGUGUAGCAGUGAAAUGCGCAGAUAUCGGGAGGAACACCAAUGGCGAAGGCGGCGAUCUGGGUAGAUACUGACGCUGAGGUGCGAAAGCUAGGGGAGCAAACGGG